rnacentral:sRNA from 8 species
CGACUAAGGUUCGAUUCGAGCGUCAGCGAGAAAGCGUUGCCGCAGGCAACGACCCGAAGGGCGAAGCGCGCAGCGCUGAGUCAUCCUUCCCCCACCACCA